GCUGAGAAGUCUAAGGCUGAAUCGAGUCAGGCAGACUAUGACCAAAAUAGGCUAAAGAGAAAUGAGCAAUUACUUAUGGAUCAAGGUACUUAUAUGAUAACACCUUAUAAUUUUUCUAUAUGUGACACUACUAUCUGGAUAUUAGAUAUCGAAAGCCUAGUUUAUAUUUAUAAUUCAUUACAAAAACUUCAAGUUAGUAAAAAAUUUAAGAAUGGUAAGAAAUUUCUGAAUGUGAGAG
rnacentral:lncRNA from 1 species